rnacentral:rRNA from 1 species
UCGAACGAUUAAACUUUCCUUCGGGGAAGAUUAAAGUGGCGCACGGGUGAGUAACACGUAGGUAAUCUACCUUUGAGUGGGGAAUAACGUUCGGAAACGAACGCUAAUACCGCAUAAUGCAGCGGCAUCUUCGGAUGACAGUUGUUAAAGCGAGUAAUCGUGCUUAAAGAGGAGCCUGCGGCAGAUUAGCUAGUUGGUAAGGUAAUGGCUUACCAAGGCAUCGAUCUGUAUCCGACCUGAGAGGGUGGUCGGACACACUGACACUGAAUAACGGGUCAGACUCCUACGGGAGGCAGCAGUCGGGAAUUUUGGGCAAUGGGCGAAAGCCUGACCCAGCAACGCCGCGUGAAGGAUGAAGUCUUUCGGGAUGUAAACUUCGUAAGAAUAGGAAGAAUAAAUGACGGUACUAUUUGUAAGGUCCGGCUAACUACGUGCCAGCAGCCGCGGUAAUACGUAGGGACCAAGCGUUGUUCGGAUUUACUGGGCGUAAAGGGCGCGUAGGCGGCGUGGUAAGUCAGCUGUGAAAUCUCCGAGCUUAACUCGGAACGGUCAGCUGAUACUGCUGUGCUAGAGUGCAGAAGGGGCAAUCGGAAUUCUUGGUGUAGCGGUGAAAUGCGUAGAUAUCAAGAGGAACACCUGAGGUGAAGACGGGUUGCUGGGCUGACACUGACGCUGAGGCGCGAAAGCUAGGGUAGCAAACGGGAUUAGAUACCCCGGUAGUCCUAGCCCUAAACGAUGAAUACUUG